UGCUUGAGGUAAACCAAGGUUUUGCUCAUGGCUCGUACUAAGCAGACUGCUCGUAAGUCCACUGGAGGAAAGGCUCCUAGGAAGCAGCUAGCCACCAAGGCUGCCCGUAAGUCUGCUCCCACAACUGGAGGAGUGAAGAAGCCUCACCAUUACCGCCCUGGAACUGUUGCUCUUCGUGAGAUCCGCAAGUACCAGAAGAGCAUGGAG